ACUCCUACGGGAGGCAGCAGUGGGGAAUAUUGGACAAUGGGGGCAACCCUGAUCCAGCCAUGCCGCGUGUGUGAAGAAGGCCUUUUGGUUGUAAAGCACUUUAAGCAGGGAGGAGAGGCUAAUGGUUAAUACCCAUUAGAUUAGACGUUACCUGCAGAAUAAGCACCGGCUAACUCUGUGCCAGCAGCCGCGGUAAUACAGAGGGUGCGAGCGUUAAUCGGAAUUACUGGGCGUAAAGCGAGUGUAGGUGGCUCAUUAAGUCACAUGUGAAAUCCCCGGGCUUAACCUGGGAACUGCAUGUGAUACUGGUGGUGCUAGAAUAUGUGAGAGGGAAGUAGAAUUCCAGGUGUAGCGGUGAAAUGCGUAGAGAUCUGGAGGAAUACCGAUGGCGAAGGCAGCUUCCUGGCAUAAUAUUGACACUGAGAUUCGAAAGCGUGGGUAGCAAACAGGAUUAGAUACCCUGGUAGUCAAU
rnacentral:rRNA from 1 species